AUUGUUUCUCGGCCUUUUGGCUAAGAUCAAGUGUAAUAUUUAUUUUCUUAAAGAAUUCAAAACAGUGGGACGCCUGGGUGGCUCAGUUGGUUAAGUGGCUGCCUUAGGCUCAGGUCAUGAUCCCAGAGUCCUGGGAUUGAGUCCCACAUCGGGCUCCUUGCUCAGCAGGGAGCCUGCUUCUCC